rnacentral:pre_miRNA from 1 species
AGUAAGAAGGCAGCUGCUAGAAUGCAAAAAGUCUGCUACUCCGACUUCUUCUUCGUCAGCAUAUUCCUCCUGUUGCUGUAACAGGCCUUUUGCAUUCCUAGCUGCUGCCUUCUAUGCU